GUGUGACGUAUAAUCUAGUGGACGGGACGCUCCUUCAACAACAACAGUUAGACACCUCGGUAGCUUUAUAGCAAACAUAGCUACAACAUUCACUCUCUUUACACUGUUUUGGUGUAUAUUAGUCGCUGUGUAUUAAACACACUUCUGUCGUAUGUACGUGUUGCUCCAUUUAAUUAUAUAUUUACGUUGUUUGUCAGCUAGCUGGUUUGCUAAAUUAGCUUAGAACUAGGCUAGUUGCUAAUGCUAGCUAGCGAACAUCUCCGACCAUGAGUUCACUAAGCUGCUCUCCUCCUGCUAAAGAAGAGGAGGUCUUCUGGACGGAGAAAGAAGCUCUCCUGAAAGAGGAGGAGGAAGAGAAGUUUGUUACAAUACAAAAACAAGUAGAGGGUGAGGCUGUUACCGUGAAAGAAGAAGAGAAAGACGUUUCAGUGAAAGAAAAGGAAGACUCGUCCAGAGUGAAAGAGGAGGAGGAUGUUACAGUAAAAGAAGAGGAAGCGGAGAGAGAGGAGGAUGCAGUUUUUGGAGUGAAAGAGGGGGAGGGGGAGAUGACUCUCACAUCGAAAAAGGAGGAGGAGGACGAAGAGGAGGAAACUGGACAUCUGGGCCCGGUUUCCCAAACGCAUCUUAAGGCAUCCUAUGGUUCUGAUGGUGAACUCAGCCGUAAGAUGGUUUUGAGAAACUGGGCCGUGAUUAACACUAGAGAGAGACGUGACUAUCGUGGAUCCUCUGGGGAGCCUCAACAACAUCAUGAAGCUGACGAGGCAGAGAAGAGUCCCUCCCGAUCAGAACACCUCAAGAAACACCAAUGGAGACCAACAGGGAAGAAAUCUCACUGCUGGUCUGACUGUGGGAAGAGUUACUUAAGAUUAAAUUAACUAAAAGUACACAUGAGAAUUCACACAGGAGAGAAACCUUACAGCUGUGAUCAAUGUGGGAAGAGUUUUACUCAGUCAAGCAGCCUGUUAUCACACCAGAGAACACACACAUGAGAUAAAUCUUAUAGCUGUUAUCAAUGUGGGAAGAGUUUUACUCAGUCAAGCAACCUGGUAUCACACCAGAGAACACACACAGGAGAGAAACCUUAUAGCUGUGAUCAAUGUGGGAAGAGUUUUACUUCAUCUAGCCAUCAGAUUGUACACCAGAGAACACACACAGGAGAGAAACCUUAUAGCUGUGAUCAAUGUGGGAAGAGUUUUACUUCAUCUAGCCAUCAGAUUGUACACCAGAGAACACACACAGGAGAGAAACCUUAUAGCUGUUAUCAAUGUGGGAAGAGUUUUACUCAGUCAAGCAACCUAGUAUCACACCAGAGAACACACACAGGAGAGAAACCUUAUAGCUGUGAUCAAUGUGGGAAGAGUUUUUCUUCAUCUAGCCAUCAGAUUGUACACCAGAGAACACACACAGGAGAGAAACCUUAUAGCUGUUAUCAAUGUGGGAAGAGUUUUACUCAGUCAAGCAACCUGGUAUCACACCAGAGAACACACACAGGAGAGAAACCUUAUAGCUGUGAUCAAUGUGGGAAGAGUUUUACUUCAUCUAGUCAUCUGAUUAUACACCAGAGAACACACACAGGAGAGAAAUCUCAUAGCUGUGAUCAAUGUGACAAGAGAUACUCUGAUAAAAGAUCUCUGAUCAAACAUCAGAAAAUACAUUAAUGAAGGAGUUGUUUCAUGAUAUCAAUGAAUUAAUGUCACAAUGUAGAAUGUUUAAACAUUGUAGUAGGAGUAUUUUAAUGAUGUCACAAUGUAGAAUGUUUAAACAUUGUAGAAGGAGUAUUUUAAUGAUGUCACAAUGUAGAAUGUUUAAACAUUGUAGAAGGAGUAUUUUAAUGAUGUCACAAUGUAGAAUGUUUAAACAUUGUAGAAGGAGUAUUUUAAUGAUGUCACAAUGUAGAAUGUUUAAACAUUGUAGAGGGAGUAUUUUAAUGAUGUCACAAUGUAGAAUGUUUAAACAUUGUAGAGGGAGUAUUUUAAUGAUGUCACAAUGUAGGAUGUUUAAACAUUGUAGUGGGAGUAUUUUAAUGAUGUCACAAUGUAGAAUGUUUAAACAUUGUAGUGGGAGUAUUUUAAUGAUGUCACAAUGUAGAAUGUUUAAACAUUGUAGUGGGAGUAUUUUAAUGAUGUCACAAUGUAGAAUGUUUAAACAUUGUAGUGGGAGUAUUUUAAUGAUGUCACAAUGUAGAAUGUUUAAACAUUGUAGAAGGAGUAUUUUAAUGAUGUCACAGUGUAGAAUGUUUAAACAUUGUAGUAGGACUAUUUUAAUGAUGUCACAGUGUAGAAUGUUUAAACAUUGUAGAAUGAGUAUUUUAAUGAUGUCACAAUGUAGAAUGUUUAAACAUAGUAGGAGUAUUUUAAUGAUGUCACAAUGUAGAAUGUUUAAACAUUGUAGAAGGAGUAUUUUAAUGAUGUCACAAUGUAGAAUGUUUAAACAUUGUAGUAGGAGUAUUUUAAUGAUGUCACAAUGUAGAAUGUUUAAACAUUGUAGAAUGAGUAUUUUAAUGAUGUCACAAUGUAGAAUGUUUAAACAUAGUAGGAGUAUUUUAAUGAUGUCACAAUGUAGAAUGUUUAAACAUUGUAGUAGGAGUAUUUUAAUGAUGUCACAAUGUAGAAUGUUUAAACAUUGUAGAAGGAGUAUUUUAAUGAUGUCACAAUGUAGAAUGUUUAAACAUUGUAGAAGGAGUAUUUUAAUGAUGUCACAAUGUAGAAUGUUUAAACAUUGUAGUAGGAGUAUUUUAAUGAUGUCACAAUGUAGAAUGUUUAAACAUUGUAGAAGGAGUAUUUUAAUGAUGUCACAAUGUAGAAUGUUUAAACAUUGUAGUAGGAGUAUUUUAAUGAUGUCACAGUGUAGAAUGUUUAAACAUUGUAGAAGGAGUAUUUUAAUGAUGUCACAAUGUAGAACACUAAACGUUUGCCCCCUGUUCAAUUGAUUUCUGCAUAAUAUGGAUAUUAUCCUCAUGGGGGAAAAUCCAGGCUCUGAAUUGAAAGAGUGAUAUUUAUAUGAUAUAACAGAAAGUGACUAACACAAAAAGAGCUGUGUUACACUUACAGCAUUGGUGACCCACUGGAAUCAAAAUGUAGCUAGAUGUUUUCUACAAGUUGUCCUCUAACCAGUGAUGUACACAUUAUUCCCAGAUUCCAUGUGAUUUUUGAGCUGUUAGUUUUAACAGGACAACCUCAUCUCCAGACUCUCACACAAAUGAUUUCAACAUGAUAUCGAUGAGUGAUGAAAAAUAAGUGUUGCGUUCCUUUGUUUAACGACCUCUAAAUGUAAAUGCAUCUCUCCAAAAUGUAGCUGACUGUCUUCUGCAGGUUGUCCUCUAACCAGGGAGGUAAAAUAUAUCUCCCAUUUCCAUGUGUUUUUAGUUGUGUUAGUUUCAACAGCACCAACAACCUGAUUUCCCCCUAAUUGAUAUCAGUGAUUUAUUGCUACUUGUCAAAACAACAGUGUUUCUGGUGCUCCUGCAUUUUAAAAGGUGCUUGUUUAAGUAAUAUGACUAUUGUUGCAGAUGUUUGUGCAGAUGGUACAUUUUAUGUUUAGGUUUUCAAUAUCACAAAUGGUUUCUGCAUAUUGGUUAUUAAUUUGGACACAUUAAAGCUGUGUUUUGACA